rnacentral:rRNA from 1 species
UACAGAGGAUGCAAGCGUUAUCCGGAAUGAUUGGGCGUAAAGCGUCUGUAGGUGGCUUUUUAAGUCCGCCGUCAAAUCCCAGGGCUCAACCCUGGGAUGCCGGUGGAUACUGUCGAGCUCGAGUCCGGAAGGGGCGAGUGGAAUUCCUGGUGUAGCGGUGAAAUGCGCAGAUAUCUGGAGGAAUACCGGUGGCGAAGGCGGCAUCCUGGACCGGCAUUGACGCUGAGGAGCGAAAGCCAGGGGAGCAAACGGG